GCGUUGAGUAGCAUGGCGUAGACCCGAAACCGGAUGAUCUAUCCAUGGCCAGGAUGAAGGUGCCGUAACAGGUACUGGAGGUCCGAACCCACUAGUGUUGAAAAACUAGGGGAUGAGCUGUGGAUAGGGGUGAAAGGCUAAACAAAUCCGGAAAUAGCUGGUUCUCCCCGAAAACUAUUUAGGUAGUGCGUCAUGUAUCACUUGCGGGGGUAAAGCACUGUUAUGGCUAGGGGGGUCAUCGCGACUUACCAAACCAUGUCAAACUCUGAAUACCGCAAAGUGCGAGCAUGGCAGACAGACAGUGGGUGCUAACGUUCAUUGUCGAGAGGGAAACAACCCAGACCGCCAGCUAAGGUCCCAAAGACACAGUUAAGUGGGAAACGAAGUGGGAAGGCAUAGACAGCUAGGAGGUUGGCUUAGAAGCAGCCACCCUUUAAAGAAAGCGUAAUAGCUCACUAGUCGAGUCGUCCUGCGC
rnacentral:rRNA from 1 species